rnacentral:rRNA from 1 species
GAUGAACGCUGGCGGCGUGCCUAAUACAUGCAAGUCGAGCGAACGGACGAGAAGCUUGCUUCUCUGAUGUUAGCGGCGGACGGGUGAGUAACACGUGGAUAACCUACCUAUAAGACUGGGAUAACUUCGGGAAACCGUAGCUAAUACCGGAUAAUAUUUUGAACCGCAUGGUUCAAAAGUGAAAGACGGUCUUGCUGUCACUUAUAGAUGGAUCCGCGCUGCAUUAGCUAGUUGGUAAGGUAACGGCUUACCAAGGCAACGAUGCAUAGCCGACCUGAGAGGGUGAUCGGCCACACUGGCACUGAGACACGGUCCAGACUCCUACGGGAGGCAGCAGUAGGGAAUCUUCCGCAAUGGGCGAAAGCCUGACGGAGCAAAGCCGCGUGAGUGAUGAAGGUCUUCGGAUCGUAAAACUCUGUUAUUAGGGAAGAACAUAUGUGUAAGUAACUGUGCACAUCUUGACGGUACCUAAUCAGAAAGCCACGGCUAACUACGUG